AUACGGAGGGUGCAAGCGUUACUCGGAAUCACUGGGCGUAAAGCGCGCGCAGGCGGGUAGAUAAGUUGGAAGUGAAAUCCUAUGGCUUAACCAUAGAACUGCUUCCAAAACUGUCUAUCUAGAGUCUGGGAGGGGAAGAUGGAAUUAGUUGUGUAGGGGUAAAAUCCGUAGAGAUAACUAGGAAUACCAAAAGCGAAGGCGAUCUUCUGGAACAGUACUGACGCUGAGGCGCGAAAGCGUGGGGAGCAAACAGGAUUAGAAACCCUAGUAGUCC
rnacentral:rRNA from 1 species